rnacentral:rRNA from 1 species
UGGGGAAUAUUGGACAAUGGGCGCAAGCCUGAUCCAGCAAUGCCGCGUGUGUGAAGAAGGCCUUCGGGUUGUAAAGCACUUUUAUCAGGAGCGAAACGCUGUCGGCUAAUACCCGGCGGAACUGACGGUACCUGAGGAAUAAGCACCGGCUAACUUCGUGCCAGCAGCCGCGGUAAUACGAAGGGUGCAAGCGUUAAUCGGAAUUACUGGGCGUAAAGCGUGCGUAGGCGGUUUCUUAAGUCUGCUGUGAAAUCCCCGGGCUCAACCUGGGAAUGGCAGUGGAUACUGGGAGGCUAGAGUGUGUCAGAGGGUGGUGGAAUUCCCGGUGUAGCGGUGAAAUGCGUAGAGAUCGGGAGGAACAUCAGUGGCGAAGGCGGCCACCUGGGACAACACUGACGCUGAGGCACGAAAGCGUGGGGAGCAAACAGGAUUAGAUACCCUGGUAGUCCACGCCCUAAAGCGAUGCGAACUGGAUGUUGGUCUCAACUCGGAGAUCAGUGUCGAAGCUAACGCGUUAGGUUCGCCGCCUGGGGAGUACGGUCGCAAGACU